UAAAUUCCAUGGAUUUUUAGAAAUGAUUUCACGAUAGUAGGAGCGAGUACGAAGCUUGGAGAAGUUGUGGAAUUAGUUCGAACGAUUUUAUUUUCGAAAACGAACGUUUUUAGGGGGUCAACAAAGUUGACUUUUUAUACGUUCAAAAUUUGGGAAAACUUCCUUCAUGAAAGUUGUAGAGCUCGUCGAUACGAGUUCGUGGACAUGUGGAACGCAUUAUUCGGAGUUCGUAUGAUUAAGUUAUGAAUAUUUGAAAAUUGGGAAUUUUCUAUAAAUAGGAAAAAUAACUGAUUUUUUUUAUUUAAGGACAAAAAAAAUUUCUUUUUGCGGAAGAGCCCCCAGCCCUCCCCGAUUCUCUCUCUCUGUUUUCCCCUCAGACCCGGCGGGUCGAGCUCGACCCGACCCGACUUUUUCACCCUCCUCCGGCCUCCUCUGGCCACGGACCCGGCCUUCCCCGAGCUCGCCGUCGCACGCCCAGCCGUUACCUGCCACCAUCUUGCCCCGCCGCUGCCCCCAGAUGGAGAUCGAAGACGCCCCAGCCGUGUGAACCCGACCCGACCGGAAAACGACUUUUCCGGCGUUGCAUGGGCCGAUCGUCCCCAUUUUCGUGAUCUCCUCCUCAUGCUGAUCAUCCCCAUACGCACGAGAUUAAUCCAACUUCAACGCUUGAUUUAGGACGAUCUAGGCCGAACCAGGCUUAGCUCCAGGUGAUCGAUGGAUUUAUUUGGCGGACGAUUCGUGAGAUUGUUAAUGGAGCUGUUAAGAAGACGCAGCUGGAAUAGAG